rnacentral:rRNA from 1 species
UACGUAGGGGGCUAGCGUUGUCCGGAAUCAUUGGGCGUAAAGCGCGCGUAGGCGGCCCGAUAAGUCUGCUGUGAAAGUCCAGGGCUCAACCCUGGAAUGCCGGUGGAUACUGUCGGGCUAGAGUUCGGAAGAGGCGAGUGGAAUUCCUGGUGUAGCGGUGAAAUGCGCAGAUAUCAGGAGGAACACCAAUUGCGAAGGCAGCUCGCUGGGACGUUACUGACGCUGAGACGCGAAAGCGUGGGGAGCAAACAGG